GCGUACUGCUCAGUAACACGUGGAUAACCUGCCCUUAGGACUGGCAUAACCCCGGGAAACUGGGGAUAAUUCCGGAUAGUUCAUGGUAGUUGGAAUGCUCCAUGAUCGAAAGCUAUUGCGCCUAAGGAUGGGUCUGCGGUCUAUCAGGUAGUAGUGGGUGUAAUGUACCUACUAGCCGACGACGGAUACGGGUUGUGGGAGCAAGAGCCCGGAGAUGGAUUCUGAGACAUGAAUCCAGGCCCUACGGGGCGCAGCAGGCGCGAAAACUUUACAAUGCGGGAAACCGCGAUAAGGGGACACCGAGUGCCAGCAUCUUAUGUUGGCUGUCCGCAUGUAUAAAUCACAUGUGUUAGCAAGGGCCGGGCAAGACCGGUGCCAGCCGCCGCGGUAACACCGGCGGCCCGAGUGGUGGCCACUAUUAUUGGGUCUAAAGGGUCCGUAGCCGGUUUGGUCAGUCUUCCGGGAAAUCUGACGGCUUAACCGUUAGGCUUUCGGGGGAUACUACCAGGCUUGGGACCGGGAGAGGUAAGAGGUACUACGGGGGUAGGAGUGAAAUCUUGUAAUCCUCGUGGGACCACCAGUGGCGAAGGCGUCUUACCAGAACGGGUCUGACGGUGAGGGACGAAAGCUGGGGGCACGAACCGGAUUAGAUACCCGGGUAGUCCCAGCCGUAAACUAUGCUCGCUAGGUGUCAGGGACGGUGCGACCGUUUCUGGUGCCGCAGGGAAGCCGUGAAGCGAGCCACCUGGGAAGUACGGUCGCAAGGCUGAAACUUAAAGGAAUUGGCGGGAAUCACUAGU
rnacentral:rRNA from 1 species